CUGCAGCUCAAGUGGUGGCCGCUAUUAUUGGGCCUAAAACGUCCGUAGCCGGUUUAGUAAAUGCCUGGGUAAAUCGUGUAGCUUAACUAUACGACUUCCGGGUAGACUGCUAGACUUGGGACCGGGAGAGGCUAGAGGUACUCCUGGGGUAGAGGUGAAAUUCUGUAAUCCUAGGGGGCCCACCAGUGGCGAAGGCGUCUAGCUAGAACGGGUCUGACGGUGAGGGACGAAGCCCUGGGGCGCAAACCGGAUUAGAUACCCGAGUAGUCC
rnacentral:rRNA from 1 species